GACGGUUCAAGAGUGAUUUUUCUAUCUCUUCAGUGCCUCUCUCAACAAUAUGAAGUUCAAACCAGGUUUUGUGCAAAUAUCUUCUGAGUGAACUACUUAUUUGAAAAGACAUCAUUGGUUAAUAUUCCCUUUUGCUCAUUGAAAUCUCAAAGACUACAGGUGUGGUGCAAUUCCAUUAGAUGAAAGAGAUCUACACAUUCAGAAGCACAUGAUUCUUCCCCCUUCCAUGAUUCCAGUGGCCAAUAGGACAGAAUGACAUUAAGGUGAUUGUGUAUUUAUAAAACAGAAUGGGGGAAAGCAGAACAAGAUGGCCAAAUAGAAUCUUCCAGUAAUCAUUCUCCCUGCAAGAACACCAAAAUGAAUAACUAUCCACAUAAGAAAACAUCUCCACAACAACCAAAAAUCAGGGAAGCACUCACAGUACCUGGAUUUAACAUCAUAUCAAGGAAAGAGACACUGAAGGGGAUAGAAAAGACAAGCUUGAAUUGCCUUCACCACCACUUCCCAUGCCCCAGCAGUGGUGCAGAGAGAGAAUCUGUGUGCUUGAGGGAGGGAGAUUGCAGUUAUUGUGGAACUUUGCAUUGGAACUCAGUGCUGCUUGUCACAGCAGAAAGCAUCAUAGGGCAGAAUUUAUCUAGCACCCAUGGAGGGAGCAUUUAUACCAGCCCUAGCCCCAGGGGAACCAUCCAUUCUAGUGGUCAAAACCCAAGUUCCAGCUGGCCACAUGACCAUGAGCUAAAGUGCACUGGGGUCUUAAAUUUGAAAGUCAGUCUAAGCCAAAAGUACUACAAUUCCUUGACAAAUCCUUGUGCUGUGCUGUGCUUGGAACCGGUGGACUUGAGUUACACACAACAUAGUGAGACACCAGCUGGAGCGACCAAAGGAGUGCCUGCAUCACCCCUCCCUGAACCCUAGGUAGUACAGCUCACAGUUCUGGGAAAGACUUCUUCCUUUCUCUUUCUCUUUCUCUUGAGUAGAGGAAAGGAGAGAAUAAAAAGGGCUUUAUUUUGCAACUUGGAAACCAGCUCAGCCACAGUAGAAUAAGGCACUAGGUAGAGUCCUGAGACUCCUUCCACCCAUAGCUCCUGGCUGACAUUCGUAAACCUACCAUGGGCCAGAAGAGAACUUGCUGCCUUGAAGAGAAGGACCCAGGUCUGGCAGGAUACAUCACCUGCUGCCUAAAUAACACUUGAGCCUUGAAUACCAAUUGUAGCCAGGUAUUAGUAGCCAUGACCCUUGGAUCCGAUCCAGUGUGAUGCUGGCUUUAGGUGUUAUCCAGAAUAUUACAAGCUGUGAUGGACACAAGCAGAGAUGCUUUCUGCCUGAGAAAAAGAAAGGGAAGAGUAAGGGGACUUUGUCUUGCAGCUUGAGAACCAGCUCAGCCACAGUGGGUUGGAGAACAAAGUGUGCUCCUGAGAUCACCACCAAUUCAUGGCUCCUGGACAGCAUCUCUAGACUUAGCUGUGGGCAAGUGGGGAACCCACUACACUUAAGGGAAAUAUCCAGGUGUGGCAGCAUCUACAACAAACUGACUGAAAAUGGCUUGGCCCUUAAAUGAACAUCAAUGGUAGCCAGGCAGUACUUGCUGUGGGUCUGAGGCAGUAGUGGCAAUGGGGAGAGACUCCUCCUGCUUGAGUAAAGAAUAGAAAAGAGUGAGGAUGACUUUGUCUUGUGGCUUGGGCACCAGCUCAGCUGCAAUAGAAUAGAGCACCAAGAGCAUACCAAAGGCUCCUAACUUCAGGCUCUGGUUCCUGGGUGCCAUUUCUGGACAUACCCUGGCCCAAGUAGAAGCUCACUGUACUGAAAGGGAGGACAUAAGGCUUGGCUGAAUUAGCCAUCUGCUCAUGGAAGAACACUUGAGCCUUGAGUGAACAUAAGCAGUAGCCAGAAAGUGGCUGCCAUGUCUUGGGUGAGACCCAGUGCUGUGUUGGCUUUGGCUCUAACUUAUUGCAGUCACAGUGGUUAUGACCAUAGGAUUGCUUAUAUCAACUCAACCACAGUUCCAGGCAGUUCAGCAGGGACAGAGAAUUUUCAUUUGUUUGGGGAAAAGUAAGGGAAGAGAAGAGUCUCUGCCUGGUAAUCCAGAUAAAUAUCUUUGAUAUUACCGAAGGCCAUGUUGAUGGUACAUCUCUCACUCUGCAAGACUAACAUGUUACUGGAUUUGGGGUGACCCCUUAUGCAAAUAUGGCUCAAGUGAUCAAAGAGUUAUAUCACUACACUGAAUUCUCUUUGAAUAUUUGGAAAGCCUUCCCACGAAGGAUGGGUUCAAAGGAGCCUAGACUGUGAGGUCUACAAUAUAUACCUAACUCUUCAAUGCCCAGACAUAGACAAACAUCCACAAGCAUUAAGAUUAUCCUGGAAACCAUGGCCUUACCAAACAGACUAAAUAAGGCACCAGAGGACCAAUCCUGGAGUGACAGAGACAUGUGAACCUUUUGGCAGAGAAUUCAAAAUAGCUGUUUUGAAAAAGUGAGCAAUCUACAAAAUAAAUCAAGAAAGUAAUUAUAUUCACAAUAGCUACCAAGAAAAUAAAAUGUCUAGGAAUAAACUUUACCAAAGAAUUAAAAGAUAUCUGUCAUGAAAACUAUAAAAUAUUGAUGCAAGAAAAUGAAAAGGACAGAAAAAAGGAAAUAUAUUCAAUGAUCAUAGAUUGGAAAAAUUAAUAUUGUUAAAAUGUCCAUAUUACCUUAAGCAAUCUACAGACUCGGUGAAAUUCCUAUCAAAAGGCCAAUGACAUUCUUCACAGCAGUAGCAAAAGAAAUCCUAAAAUUUAUACAGAACCACAAAAGAUUCAGAAUAGCUAAAACCAUUCUGAGCGAUAAAGUGUAAAACUGGAGAAAUCACAUAACCUGACUUCAAAUUUUAUGACAUAGCCAUAGUAUUCAAAACAGUGUGAUACUGGCAUAAAAACAAAUAGAACAAUGACACUGAGUAGAGAAUCUAGAAGUGAAUCCAUACAUCUAGAGUGAACUCAUUUUUGUCAAAGGUGUCAAGAACAUACAUUAGGGAAAGCAAGUCUCUUCAAUAAAUGGUACCGGGAAAACUGAAUAUUCAUAUGCAGAAGAAUAAAACUAGGUGCCUGUCUCUCACCACAUAUAAAAAUGAAACAAAAAAGGAUUAAAUUUUUAACCAUAAGACCUCAAACUGUGAAACUACUGAAGUGGAAAAGUAGGGAAACUCUCUAGGAUAUUGGUUUGAGCAAAAUAUUUCUUAUUACCUCAGAAGCAGAGGCAAUCAAAGCAAAAAUGAACAUUUGAGAUCAUGUCAAGUUCAAAAGCUUCUGCACAGGAAAGAAAACAAUCAACAAGAUGAAGAGACAACUCAAAAUCCAUCUGACAAAGAAUUAAUAACCAGAAUACAUAAGGAGGUCAAACAAUUCUAUAGGAGAAACAUCUGAUGAUCUGAUUAAAAAACGGGCAAAAUAUCUGAAUAGACAUUUCUCAAUAGAAGACAUAAAAAUGACCACCAAAUAUGAAAAAGUGUUCUAUAUUAUUGAUCAUCAGGAAAAUGCAACUCAAAACUAUAAUGAUGUAUCAUCUCACCCCAUUUAAAAUGGCUUUCAUCCAAAAGACAGGCAAUAACAAAUGCUGGCAAGAAUGUGGAGAAAAGGGAACCUGUGUAUACCAUUGGUGGAAAUGUAAAUUAGUACAGCCACUAUGAAGAACUGUAUGAAAGUUCCUUAGAAAACUAAAAAAAGAACUAACAUAUGAUCCAACAACCUCACUGGUAGGUAUUUACCCCAAAGGAAUAAAAUCAGUAUAUCGAAGAGGUAUCAGCACUCCCAUGUUUAUUGCAGCACUGUUUACAAUAACCAAGAUUUGGAAUCAACUUAAGUUUCCAUCAACUGAUGAACGAAUAAAGAAAAUA